ensembl:lncRNA
GAGUAUCGAGAAUAGAAAUAUUUUACUGCUAUUAUUUGUUGCUAUUUUAUAAUCGUCAUUACCAUUUCAUGGGAUGUUGCAUUCAGAUGCACUCAGAUGUUCAAAAUAUAUUGGUAUUAUAUUAGUCUUUAUUACAGGUUCAGUUAUAAUCAGUUGAAUCUAUAAUUUAAAGGUUUUCGAAUGUUUUAUAUUCUUACACAUAGUCUUCAGUGGGGGAGAAACUGAGUUGCAGGCUGACAGGAAACGGUGUGCUUUUGCAAAAGUGAAACCAAAACCAGAGUCUGGGUUUGUAUAAUGAGUUUAUACAUUUUACAUAGAAGUUAAGAUCAUCACAACACAGGAUGGCCUUAGCCUGGUUGCCUACGUGAGGUCAACUAAGGUUCAGAAAGCAGAUGCACACUCUGUGCACGCGCAGAGACAUACACACACACACUGUUAGGGUGUAGGUGAGAGUUGACUGAUGAAGCAGUAGAUGCACGAUGCGAGAGCUGAGCUGGCUUACGGGAAACCACCGGGGAGAAGAUGGAAGCCAGUGUACUUUUAAUUGUGCCUUAAGCUGUCAAAUAGAACAUUUGUGGUUUUGAAGCUGAUGUAUGUGAUGACGCAAUGAGGGGGCGUCACUAAAUAUACUCUGAUGCAUAUAAAACUGUAUUUUGAUGUUAGGAGGAUGAGAUUGUGGGGCUGUCUGCUUACGGAGUCCGCUCAUUCUCCCACGCGUGUCAUUUCAUUAAAAUCAUCGUCUUUACCCUUUGGACCAGUGUGGUUACUUGCAUUCCUCCUGUGUUUCCUUCCCUAUAUUUUUGAACCUUAACAAGAGGCAUGCUGCUGCAGGAAACAAGGUGGGUUAGAAAGAUAAAUAACACUCAAUGGUUUUUCUGUAAAAACACCACUAUUUUGUCAUUUUUAAUUAACUGGGUUCUGUUUUGCAACUUGUGCGAACCGUUUUCAGGUCAGCUUUGUAAGGAAAAAUAGAAAAUUAUUAAGGAUUUCCAAAGUGGCGCUACUGUAGGUGCGUUUCUUCCUUUAGUGUGAAAAUGGAGUAUCUGAUAUCAUAAAAUAGUCACAGUUUUCCGCCACCAUUUUCCGUUUUUCCAAUUAUCUCACUGAGUUCAGUUCAAUUCUUGUCUUCUUGUGCUAUAAGCUGCCCAGCCCCCACAUAUAGCCAGU